rnacentral:sRNA from 1 species
UACUUUAGUCUUUUUCUAUUCGACCAAAGUUUUAGCUUCUUUGGUUCUCUAAGUCUAUAUAUAUUCUCUGUUUUUUAGUUUUAGUGUUAGUUAUCCCUUUCUCUUUUCUCUAGUUCUCUACAUCUCAACAUGGUCGAUGUGUUAUGGGACGAGAUUCAAAAUCUGGAGUUGGGUCAAGAUUAUCCUACUUUGUUCAUUCCCAAUGAGGCCUAUGUGAUGGUUGAAGACCGCAACAGGCUUAGUCUGAUUGCCAGACCUCUGCUUCCAAGGGUACAAAAUUUUAACGCUGUUAUUAAUGCUUUACCAAGAGCUUGGGGUCUUACUGCUCAUGUUCAUGGACGAAUCCUAGAUGCUACGUAUGUUCAACUUCUGUUUCAAACAGAGAUAUACUUGUUAUCGGUUCAAAGGAGGGAAGUAUGGUUGUUUAAUAACUGGUUUGUUGCAUCUCAAAGAUGGGAGGCUGCUCCUUCUUUGAAUUUUG